rnacentral:lncRNA from 1 species
CACUUGCUGUUAAUUCUCUUGCAGAGAAUCUGGGUUUGAUUCCCAGCAUCCAUAAGACAGUUUAUAGCCAGCUGUAACUCCAGUAACAGGGACACAAUGCUCUCUUCUGGUCAUUGUAAUAUAUAAACAUACAGGCAAAGGCAUUCAUACACAUAAAAUGAAAAUAACCCCAGACUCUUUAACACAGUUUGUUAUUUUGGCCUUAAAAUGUCAGCACACUUUAUCUCCUCUUAGGUAACUGCUUUCGUAGAGACCACUCAUCAACACAGGACUUAGAUUAGCAAAUGCCCGCCAAAUCACCAGAGCUGCUAUUGAGGACAGUGUAAAUACACUAUCACAGGAAAAGCUAUCAGGUCAUCUUUACUAACGCACAGCAUUCUCUGGUAAGAAUUUGACACCCACUAGUCAGAAAAGACAACAACAGGGUGAAAUGUUCCCCAACAACCUGCUGUCCUUCAGCCUUGGGUCUCUAUGCUUGGAAAGGUCAUCUCUGAGAUAAGAGUGUGCACAGAGAGCACCAGGGGUUUUUGUUGGUGAUUGUUUAAGAGUGUAAGCAGAAGAACCUUUAAGACUGGAGAUGAAAGGCCUGGCAUGGCAGUGUUUUAGUGAUGGACUGGGUGUUAGGCUGACAGUCCUGGUCAACAUUCUGUAAUUUGUUGCCACUUCAAGAGAAUCUAGUGCGUUCCUAUCUUGAAACCCCUUCCACUAAUGGAGAUUAUUGCUCACUUUUCCAUAGUAGAUCUAUAUUUGAUGUACUAAAAUGAUGAAAAGGAAAGCAAGGUAUAUCUAAUAACUAGACAGGGUAAGUUCACAAGUGGUGGUGGACUCAUCCUUUUUCUCUUUACCAUUCAGUAGAGACUCAAAUUCAAUGAAGACUAAUCACAAGUAGUAGAGGUAUAAUUAUACAUCUGCCUCAGUUCAGUUUCAGAGCCCAGAGUUUCUUUUGACAGGGUCAGGAGACUAGCAAAUCAUAGAUCGGAGACGGGGCUCUCUAUAUUCCCUAUCAUUGGUAAAUUAAUAAAGCUGGCUGGUAGCAGAACACAUGCAAAUGAUAGUACAGCAGCGAUCUGAUCAGAGCAAGGACAUCAGCCCAAAGGAAAGCAAGAGUCUGCCAUCCAGCAUUAUGAAUGCAUUGCCAACAACGUUGGAGACCACAUAUAGAACAGCUAGGGUACACUGGUGGAAGCAAGAGACUCAGGUUGCAAUGUUGGGUUUGAGUUCCAUUCCUAUUACUACUUGUGUGGCCUUUAUCAGUUAUUAAAUCUCUCUGACUCAAUUUCCUUCCUCACUUAUAAAAUGAAGCUAAUUACAUGUAGUGUUGUGCACAAUAAUAGCUAUUUAAUCUUUUUCAAGAAUUACUAUUUAUUUUUUUAAAGACAGAUAAGUUUAUCAUAGUUGCAUCUAUAUGCUACAUAAUUGCACUGAGACCCUUGAGAUCCCAUCAUGUUCUGGCAGGUUAAAAAGCAGCUAAGACGAAGCAAGUAUAAAUUGGCCUGUCCGAUGGAUUACUAGUAAUCCACAAAACAGCAAGGAAGAGGUAGUGUCACAUCUGUUCUUAGGUAUAAUGUCAUGUAGCUUAGCUAUUCAGGUUACUAAGAAGAAUAGGAAGAUAGCCUUAAGAAUGAUACAUUUAGGACAGAUAAUACCAUUAAUUUGAAUGACUCAGGAGAUUCCCAAAAGAUAAGCUACAUAAAGUGAGAUAAUUUAACAAGAACAUGUGAAGAAUAAUUGAUCAAACAGGACUUAGAGAUAAGACUCAGGAAGAACAUGCUUUUCAAAUAUUUGAAGAUAAAAAAAGUAGGCCAAACAGGCUUUAAAACAAGAUAGAAAUCAACAAAAUACUAUAUAAAAUUAAUUUUGUCUCAGCUCUCCAUGAAGAUGAAUGGCUUUAGAAAAUACCCAAGUUCUUGCUUCCUAAGAAGGAACUAUUUGUGAAUUUGCAUAGAAUCAAAAUGUUCUAUAAAACCCAUCAAACUCAAAUAUUAUAAAAAAGGCAACAUUAGAGAUAGCAUUGUUAAUGCAUGUUUUAUUUGGAGUUCAUGGAAAAAAAAUCCUACUUACCCAUAUCAGAGUCACCUCCACCAGAAGAGUUCAACUUACGAAAAAUUUCCUGUUUCUUUGAUUUAACCAUGGGUGAUGUGCUUUCAAGCUUGGUGAAGAAUGAAGGCAAGUAGCUUAUACUUCCUGGUGAUCGAGAAUCACUCCUGUCAGGAAUAGAAUUCAAUCUAUUAUAACCAUGUACCCUAGGAACACUCCUUUAAAUAACAGGUACAAAAUACUCAGAAAACUACUGCCUUCCAUUCUGUGUUGGUUACAAACCGUACAAAGCAUAUGUGACCAUGAACUCAUAAAGAUGAUCCACAGGACUGCCUGCCUGCCUGCCUGUCUGUCUGUCUAUCUAUCUAAUGAUUUUUAGCUCUGAGAAGUGAAAUGGUAAAAUUGGGAUUAAAAGGAAGAUG